UGGACACAUGCCAAAAACCAAUUCGUUUGGUUAUGCAUCAUCACCAGAUUGUGGUAUGGACUUGCGCCAAUUCCUAGGUUAUUUUCAAAUUGGUCAGCAACCAUUCAUUCCACCACAUCCAAAUGUUUCAUUCCCACCACCAUGGCCACCUACAGCACCAACGACCAAUUCAGGCAUAUCGAAGUCAAAUUUCAAAAUUGUCACUAACGUAGACGAUGACGAUGAUGUUAGAACUGCAAAGCGUCUCCCCUAUGAAAUAGAUGAGGACUCACGACUAGUGAGUGCAUGGUUAUACCACUCAAAUGACAAUUAAUGGAAAUUGCAAGAGAAAUGAGAGUUACUGGGCAGAUGUGAUUGAACUAUACAAUAGCACUACACCUGUCAAUCGUAAAAGAGAAGUAAAGCAUCUCAAAGAUCGAUGGCAAAGAAUUAAAAGAACAGUUGCAUAUUUCUGUGCCUCUUGGGCAAAGGACACCUCAAUUUAUACUAGUGGAUAUUCAGAAGACCAGCUGAAAGAUAUAGCAUUUAAAUUUUAUUCGGAUGACUAUCCUAAAGAAGGUCCAUUCACACUUCUGCAUUGUUGGAAGAUUCUUCGUGAUGAACCCAAAUGGCAUUCAAUCUUGGAGGAGCCUGAUAAGUCAAACAAAAGGAGUUUGGAUGAUGGAGACACAGUAAGACUAGAAGAUAUUGGAGAAAAGGAACGUCCAAUGGGGAGGAAUGAAGCUAAAAAACAGCGAAACAGCAAAGGAAAAUUCAAAGAUGAUGACCCUAGUUUACAUGAAGAUAUGAAGAAGUACAUGGAUAUUCAAGUUGCAGCAAGCAAAAGACAUGAAGAAUUUAUAGAGACCCAACAACGUAUUUCUGGUGCAAAAGUUGAGGCAGCAAGGCUUAGGAGGGAGUCUGUUUUGUUGGAAUUAUAUCAAAAAUUGUUGACCAUGGACACCAGUCAAAUGGCUGAUGAUAUGAAAGCUGAGCACGUGAUAGGCUUGAAGAUUUUGAAGGACAAGCUACUAGGCAACACUAACUAAGGGAGGCGAAUACUAGUGAUCAUGUUCUUUUGCUCAGGAGGUCAACAUUGUCUAUCUUUUGGUGAUUUUCACUUGUGUCUAAGGUUGCCCAGCGUUUGGUGGUCUUCUUCAAUGAAUGAAAUUAGCAGUAGCUUGUAGCUACUUUUGCUUAAUGAAUGAAAUUAUCAGUUGUAUCUGGAUAGCAUCCGUCUAGCUUGUAGCUGCUUUUGUUUAAGGAAUGAAAUAUCGUUUGUAUUUGUCUGAUGCUAUCCAGUUUAUGCCCAUCGACUCUCUUUUGUGACCGUAUAAUACUUAUUGUGUUACCUAGUUGCUGUGCAAGUAGUAUAAUAUUCUUCAGCAUCUGACAGAAUUGCA